rnacentral:lncRNA from 1 species
UUGUUUGUUUCUCUUUAUGAGUUGUAUUGUUUGUCAACCUUGCAAGAAGAGCAUCAAACUUAAUUGAUCUUAACGGUGCAAGGCUACUUUAAUGAGUAGUACUGUUCCUGUAGCUUGAUUAAGAGAAUUCAUGCAGACAAGUUUCUCAAUCCGAAAAAAGUGCAAACUGUUGCCCCAUCCAAUAAUCAAUGGUUUGCAAUUUGCAAUUCAUGUGAUACAACACCAUGCUUCUUUCCUUCAAUUUCCAAAGGCCAUUUUCUGAUUAGUGAUUACUCCAAAACUGACUGCUAAAACUAAACCAGUUGGUGGUUUUGUUGUUGAAGUGAAAAAUCUAAUUUGGAUAGUGAAAGAGAAUGUACGUGUGUUUCUGUGUGUGGUGUCUAUAGUAGAGGAGAGCAAAGGAAGAUUGUUACGUUGAAUGGCCACUAUCUCAGGUUCUCCAAAAUGGAUUCUCUGUAGCAGAGGGAAUUGACAUUAUUAGCUCAUUAUGAAAGAAAUUAAAAGUGUCACAGUUGAUGUUGAACUUUCAGGAAUCGGUGCAUGCAACUUAUUAAAAACUGACUCAGACUAAUCUUCAACCCAAAAACACACCCCAUUUUUGUCCUUUUAGAGUGUAAAAUGUCAUGCCGUAGAAAACCAUUUUGGAGAACCUAAAAGUAGAAUCAAACACUCGAAGCAUGUAAUUAACCUUCAAGAUAUAGGUGCAGAGAAUUGUAAGCAGGAGGAACCAUAUGCAAUGAAUUGUAUUCCUAAACUAAAGGAAAAUAAUUCAAGGAGACAUAUUUAAGUCACCUAAAGAAAAUCUGCGGAUAUAAUGGAAGGAAAAUAAUUAGAUUAAGGGAAACGAGUGAUAAUAAGUUAUUUUAUGCAUUACUCUAUAAUCAAGUAAAUUUCCUUAAUAUAUUCAUUAUAAAUAUAAAAUAAUAUCACAUUUCAUUUAAUUUUCUGGUGGUUAAUGAAUAAUUUUUUACUUUUUAUAAUUCAGUAUAUAAUAAC